rnacentral:rRNA from 1 species
UUACUGAGCGCGAGGCCCCGCAGCGCGCACGCGCUGCGGCGGUUGACCCUCCACCCGUGUGAACUCUUAUCUGUUGCUUUGGCGGGCCGGGCUCGACCUGCCGGCUCCGGCUGGCGAGUGCCCGUCAGAGAAGCCCCAACUCGUGCUGUGAGUGUUGUCUGAGGAAAUGUGGAAUUAGUAAAACUUUCAACAACGGAUCUCUUGGCUCUGGCAUCGAUGAAGAACGCAGCGAAAUGCGAUAAGUAAUGUGAAUUGCAGAAUUUAGUGAAUCAUCGAAUCUUUGAACGCACAUUGCGCCCCCCGGCAUUCCGAGGGGCAUGCCUGUUCGAGCGUCAGAACACCCCUCAAGCCUAGCUUGGUCUCGGGGCUCGCCGGCUCGGCGGCCCCUAAACGCAGUGGCGGUGCUGGUGUGCUCUCCGCGUAGUCAUGUAUCUCGCGACAGAGUGGCGACGGCACCCGCCAGAACCCCAGUCUUUGGAUGACCUCGGAUCAGGUAGGGAUACCCGCUGAACUUAAGCAUAUCAUUAAGCGGAG